AUGUAAAACUUAUGUUUCUAUCUUGCCAGUUGCCGGCAACUACGUGAUUCCGUCUUUUCCCCAUCUUUUCAACAGCUCCCCCAGUCUCCCACAGCAGCCAUUUUCUCUCCGUACUUUUAUGUUUUUGUGCGUGUAAUAUCCUCAAUUCGGUCCCCAAAAACAACCACGCAAUGUCUCUCCAAUUUUCUGCCCCAGCCACCGACUUGUAAAAAAAGAAUAAUCCCCAAAAGGAUUUCCAAUUUUCUUUCCCUAGCAGGCUUUAUGAUUCAGCUUGGAGGGCUACACUUGCCUGUAAUUCACCCUCCAAAUACUGGUCUCUUAAACCAAUUUUCACCAUCUUUUAGACAUCCCGUGUAAUCCAAACAGACAAGUUAGAGCACAGAACAACCCAUUUGCCAAAAAAUGGGAAUACUAAAUUUGGGCAUGGUGAAAUCGGUAUAUUAUGUUGAAAUUGAUGAGGACCCAUUGUUGUAAUAGUUGGAGCAUUAGGAGAGGAUGCCGGAAUGGGUGGUCCGCAACAAUGGGACCAAUUACCAACGCCGAAAUUGAUGGAAGAAACAAACUGGUUUCUCAAACUAGUUAAGAGUUUCUUCUAAGUUUUGGAUGGUUAUAGAAUCUGUUUGUGUAAUUGAUUGAUGAGGAAGUGUUUAUGGCUUAAACUUGCCCGUAAAGGAAGCAGUUUCUGAUGAUUUAUGCGGCGGUGGGUGGUGGUUUGAAUAUGGACCGCUAGAUGCUAGUGGCUCCAUUCACAGAG
rnacentral:lncRNA from 1 species